CUGCGCGUUAAGCUCGAAUUAAUCUUUGGGCGGUAACGUCUCGUUAUUCAGAUUUGUUCUGAAUUUUUCAGAGUGGUUUCUCCCUCUGUUUGACGCCUCCCUGUUAACUUCGAGAGCUGCAACCUUGCGGCUCUUUUUCU
rnacentral:sRNA from 1 species